rnacentral:misc_RNA from 1 species
AACGCACCUUGCGCUCCUUGGUAUUCCGAGGAGCAUGCCUGUUUGAGUGUCAUGGAAUCAUCAACUCUUAUUUCUUUUUCAGAGAUGAGAGCUUGGACUUGGAGGUCUUUGCUGGCUUUUUGUGCCGGCUCCUCUUGAAUGCAUUAGCUUGAACCUUUGCUGUAUCGGCCUCGGUGUGAUAAUUGUCUACGCUGUGGCUGUGAGGCUUUUUUAAAAAAACGGGCUCAGCUUCCAAUGGUCUGCUUGCGGACAACAUCUUAUUGACCUCUGACCUCAAAUCAGGUAGGAUUACCCGCUGAACUUAA